GACGUAGGGCGCGAGCGUUGUCCGGAAUUAUUGGGCGUAAAGAGCUCGUAGGCGGUUUGUCGCGUCUGCUGUGAAAAUCCAGGGCUUAACCCUGGACCUGCAGUGGGUACGGGCAGACUAGAGUGCGGUAGGGGAGAUCGGAAUUCCUGGUGUAGCGGUGAAAUGCGCAGAUAUCAGGAGGAACACCGGUGGCGAAGGCGGAUCUCUGGGCCGUAACUGACGCUGAGGAGCGAAAGCAUGGGGAGCGAACAGG
rnacentral:rRNA from 1 species